UAGCUUUGGCAGCACAUAUACUAAAAUUGGAACGAUACAGAGAAGAUUAGCAUGGCCCCUGUGCAAGGAUGACACCCAAUAAAAAGGAAGGAAGGAAAAAAGG